AUUGAACGCUGGCGGAAUGCUUUACACAUGCAAGUCGAGCGGCAGCGCGGGGGCAACCCUGGCGGCGAGCGGCGAACGGGUGAGGAAUACAUCGGAACGUACCCCGGAGUGGGGGAUAACGCCGCGAAAGCGGCGCUAAUACCGCAUAUGCUCUGAGGAGGAAAGUGGGGGGACCCGCAAGGCCUCACGCUCUGGGAGCGGCCGAUGUCCGAUUAGCUAGUUGGUGGGGUAAAGGCCCACCAAGGCGACGAUCGGUAGCUGGUCUGAGAGGAUGAUCAGCCACACUGGGACUGAGACACGGCCCAGACUCCUACGGAGGCAGCAGUGGGAAUUUUGGGACAAUGGGGGCAACCCUGAUCCAGCCAUGCCGCGUGCGUGAAGAAGGCCUC
rnacentral:rRNA from 1 species